AAAUUAAAAUCGAUUUUAAUUUACCUUUUAUAUUAUAAAAAUAAAUAAAUUUACAGAAAUAUUGAAAAAUAAGGAAAAUUUAAGAAAGGAAAUAAUGAUUGUUCCUUUGGUAUCAGGAUUAGUGGAAAAAAAGUUGUAUUUUUUACUCUCGAUAAAGGAAGAUUUAUAAUUUUAAAAUCUUUAUGUUUAAUUAUAAAAAUAAUAGAAUUAUAGAAUUGAAAAAUUUAACGUUUUCUUAUAUCUAGUUUAAGCUAAAUUGAGGAAUCUAGUUUAGAAAUCAAAAAAUUUCUAAAUUUAUAUAUUGAAGGGAUAAUUUUUCAAUGAAAUUAAUAUAUUUUUAUUUAAAAAAAUUUAAAUUAAGAUUAAUAAAAAUUUAAAAUAUUUAAAUUUUAUAAUUAAUCCUAUUAUCAUUAAAUUAUUAUUAAAUAAAAAUAAUUAAUUAAAAACUCGAUUUAUUUUAAUACCUGUUUAACAAAAACAUGGUUUUUUACAUAAAAAAUUUAAUCUGCCCUUUGGUUUAAUAAAAGGCCGCAGUAAAUUGUGCUAAGGUAGCAUAAUAAAUUGUCCUUUUAUUAAGGUCUUGCAUGAAAGAUUGAAUGAUUAAAAAUAUAUUUUAUUAUUUUUAUAAAAAAUUAAAUUUUGAGUUAAAAUGAUUAAAUUUUAAAAAGGGACGAGAAGACCCUAAGAUCUUUAUUAAAAAUUUGGCUGGGGAAGCUAUAUUUUUAAACAAAUAUAAUAUUAUUCAUUAUAAGUGUCUAAAAAAGAUAAACUAUAAAGUAAAAAAGUUACCUUAGGGAUAACAGCAUAAUAAUAAACAAUAAGAUCAAAUUUUAAUUUAUGAUUAUGACCUCGAUGUUGAAUUAGGUAAAAUUUAUAAGUAAAAAUAUAAAAUUUUUAGCCGGUUCAACUAGGUAAACCUACAUGAUUUGAGUUCAGACCGACGUGAGUCAGGUUAGAUUCUAUCUUUUUUUUAUUUUUUGUGUACGAAAGGAUAAAAAAAUUAAAAUAAUUUUUAUUUUAAUCUU
rnacentral:rRNA from 1 species